rnacentral:ncRNA from 1 species
AAUGGUUUCAGUAUUAAAAGCACUGAAUUAAAAGGGAAGCAGGUUAGAAUCCUGCACGGUCCCGCCACUGUAAUGAUGAUGAAAGCACAAUGCCACUGAAGAGAUUUGGGAAGGUGUGUGAGUAAGGUGAAUCUAAGUCAGGAGACCUGCCUUUGAUAAAA